GACGAACGCUGGCGGCGUGCCUAAUACAUGCAAGUAGGACGCAGUUGCGCACGGGUGAGUAACGCGUAGGUAACUCCCUAUUAGAGGGGGAUAACUAUUGGAAACGAUAGCUCAUACCGCAUACUAGUAGAUGGACCUGCGUUGUAUUAGCUAGUAGGUAGGGUAAUGGCCUACCCAGGCAACGGUACAUAGCCGACCCUGGAGGGGUAACGGCCAAACCGGGAAUGGGAAACGGCCCAGACGCCCACGGGAGGCAGGCGGAGGGGAACUUCGGCAAAUGGGGGAAACCUUGCCGAGGAAAGCCGGGGGAGUGAAGAAGGUUUUCGGAUCGGAAAGCUCUUUUGUUAAGGGAGCGGUACUUAACCAGAAAGGGACGGCUAACUACGUGCCAGCAGCCGCGGUAAUAC
rnacentral:rRNA from 1 species